GUUUCCACAGAACAACAAAAGUGGACAAGCUUAGAAUCAUGCAAGGGAAACUUAGACAUAAUAUUUUAUAAGGGGCAACUACCCCAGCCCUGUGCGUGGACUCCGUCAAUGGACUCUCACGCAACAGGGAUGCGGACUUUGGGGACGAGGAAGAUGAUGAUGAGGAGGAGGUUGAAGCACAGCAAGCAAGCGGAGAUUCCCCAACAGCCAGGAACUGUUUUUCACCCUGGAUCUAGUACCCUCCCAACCCACUGAAGGAAGGCUCGCAGAUCUAGAAGGUGGAGAAUGGACCUCUGCUGCACAUGUUUCAUCGCUCCACGUAUCAUCUCCAUCCCAGAGGCUAUCAAAGAUUAGAAGCCAAAAAAAAUGCACUUGCGAUUAAACGUUCUCUGAACUCAUGCAGUCCACCCAUGCUGAAAGAGCCCAGCACAAUGCAUGAAGGGAGACAAUGUCAGAGUCCAGGAAAGCACAAAAUGAAUGCGAGGACAGGAGGGAUGAGCAACAGGCCAGGAGGGAUGAGUGAGAGGAGAGGUGGCGCCAGCGUGAUGAGAGGAGGCAGGAUGCAAUGCUGAGGCUAUUGGAUGAUCAAAGUGAUAUGCUCUGGCAUAUGGUGGUGCUGCAGGAAAGGCAGCAGGAGCACAGACCACAGCUGAAGCCCCUGUGUAACAACCACCCUCCUCCCCAGGUUCCAUAGCCUCCUCACCCAGACACCCAAGAACGCAGUGAGGGCAGGCCUUCGGGCACCCAACCACUCCACCCCAGAGGACUGUCCAAGCAACAGAAAGCUGGUGUUCAAUAAGUUUUAGAGUGCAGUUUGGCCUUGUCCUUCCCUACCCCACCCUCCAGGUGCUUCCCUCCUCCCACACCCCUCACAGGCUACCUUGGCAGUUCU